AUUGAAACUGACGUGAUCGCCGUUUACAUUGACUUGCUGAAGUCUGAUGCAGAAAAGCAAAGUUCGCAAGUGGGAUUCCUCACAGUAGACGCUUCUUAUUAUGCCAUAAAGUAUGAACAGACGAAAGAACAGGAAGAGGACACUCGG